AGUGAACGCUGGCGGUAGGCCUAACACAUGCAAGUCGAGCGGCAGCACAGUGAGAGCUUGCUCUUACGGGUGGCGAGUGGCGGACGGGUGAGGGGUACAUCGGAAUCUGCUUUUUCGUGGGGGCUAACGUAGGGAAACUUACGCUAAUACCGCAUACGACCUACGGGUGAAAGCAUGGGAUCUUCGGACCUUGCGCGAUUGAAUGAGCCGAUGUCGGAUUAGCUAGUUGGCGGGGUAAAGGCCCACCAAGGCGACGAUCCGUAGCUGGUCUGAGAGGAUGAUCAGCCACACUGGAACUGAGACACGGUCCAGACUCCUACGGGAGGCAGCAGUGGGGAAUAUUGGACAAUGGGCGCAAGCCUGAUCCAGCCAUACCGCGUGGGUGAAGAAGGCCUUCGGGUUGUAAAGCCCUUUUGUUGGGAAAGAAAAGCAGCAGGUUAAUACCCCGCUGUUCUGACGGUACCCAAAGAAUAAGCACCGGCUAACUUCGUG
rnacentral:rRNA from 1 species